CAUGCCUUUAAUUCCUUCACUAGAGAGACUGGGGUGGUCAGGUCUUUGAUUCCUAGACCAAUCUGGUUUACAAAGUGAGGUACAGGCCAGCCAGAACUGCAUAGUUAGGCCCUGUCUCAAAAACAAAACAAGCAAACAAAUUGGAGUAUACACUCACAAGUCCAUGCCUAAAUUCCCAGACCCAUGUGCACAUCCAAGCAUCCAGGGAGAGAGAAUUGUCCAGCUGUUAUGUAUUCAAGAGCCGUUCUGAUCUUCUUGGUGGAAUACUUUCUCUUACCAGGAUAUCAUCACCAGAAAGAUCUUAAACUGAGCUUUCAGCAAGCUACUCCUCUGCUCUUAUAGCCCCAGCUGACACUGCAAAUGGAGACAUCCCUACUACAAACUGCAGGCUCAGAGCUGAGGUCAUGCUGUGUAGAAGACUGUGUGAGUCCCAUAAUGAUGAGUUCACUGGUGGUUCUGGUAGAGGCGUCAUAGGGAGGGAGGAAGAUCAGCCUCUGUGGUGUAUACAUCAGCACAGCACCUCAAGGAUCAUCCAGACUGUGAAUGAACCACACACUCCUUUUCCAGACUCCUACAGUUACUGCAAAUUUGUCUGUCACCUUCAACACUGUCAGUUCUACAGCAUACUUGGGCUUAAAAAAAAACUACACCCAGCUAGCUGUGCAUAAUGCUGCAAAUGCUCAAAGGCAUAGAGCAGCAUUAUGCUUCUGUGUCACCAGGGACUGGCUGAGAGAUUAUGAUGACAUCUUUGGGCCCACCCAGUGCAUUGUGGGGCACAUCACCUUCAUUACACCUGGAUGGAUGCUGGUUCCUUAGGAAUUGGACAGCGGUGUGGAGUGGAGCAGCACAUUCCUCCCAUAGAGGCAAUGUCCAGGGCAGCUCAUUUGCUCUGAUCACUUUCCACUGGG
rnacentral:lncRNA from 1 species